rnacentral:rRNA from 1 species
AUUGACCGCUGGCGGCAGGCCUAACACAUGCAAGUCGAACGAGUGGCGUACGGAUGUCCUAUGUCUGGGCAACUGCCUGAUGGAUGGGGUUCACUACCGGACACGGUAGCUACUACCGCCUAACGUCAGAUGUGCCCAGUUGGGAGUUGCUUGUUGGUGGGGUCACGGCUCACAAAGGCGACGAUCCCUAGCUGGUCUGAGAGGAUGACCAGCCACACUGGAACUGAGACACGGUCCAGACUCCUACGGGAGGCAGCAGUGGGGAAUAUUGCACAAUGGGCGAAAGCCUGAUGCAGCCAUGCCGCGGGUAUGAAGAAGGCCUUCGGGUUGUAAAGUACUUUCAGCGGGGAGGCGUUACCCGCAGAAGAAGCACCGGCUAACUCCGUGCCAGCAGCCGCGGUAAUUC